rnacentral:rRNA from 1 species
UGGGGAAUUUUGGACAAUGGGCGAAAGCCUGAUCCAGCAAUGCCGCGUGUGUGAAGAAGGCCUUCGGGUUGUAAAGCACUUUUGUCCGGAAAGAAAUCCUUGGCUCUAAUACAGUCGGGGGAUGACGGUACCGGAAGAAUAAGCACCGGCUAACUACGUGCCAGCAGCCGCGGUAAUACGUAGGGUGCAAGCGUUAAUCGGAAUUACUGGGCGUAAAGCGUGCGCAGGCGGUUUGCUAAGACCGAUGUGAAAUCCCCGGGCUAACCUGGGAACUGCAUUGGUGACUGGCAGGCUAGAGUAUGGCAGAGGGGGGUAGAAUUCCACGUGUAGCAGUGAAAUGCGUAGAGAUGUGGAGGAAUACCGAUGGCGAAGGCAGCCCCCCUGGGCCAAUACUGACGCUCAUGCACGAAAGCGUGGGGAGCAAACAGGAUUAGAUACCCUGGUAGUCCCACGCCCUAAACGAUGUCAACUAGUUGUUGGGGAUUCAUUUCCUUAGUAACGUAGCUAACGCGUGAAGUUGACCGCCUGGGGAGUACGGUCGCAAGAUUAAAAC